AAAAUAUCCUCAUAAGUUAGACGAUAAGAGGUACCAUUUAUGAAUUUAAUUAUUAAGCCCUUUUUCCCUUCUACGAAGAUUUAAGGUAAAUAAUAAUUGAUAGAUAGGUGGUGGCACAGAAUCGGAGGCCCCGACUGUUUACUAAAAACACAACACAGUGCAAUCAUUAAUGUGAUAGUAUACUGUGUGAAAUUUGCCCAAUGCCAUUAAUAUAAAAGCGGUCAUAGGAAACUGUGACUAAUUGAAAAUCUGGUUAAUAGCGGUCUUAACCAUGAGGAUCCUAAGGUAGCAAAAUAAAUUGGCCAUUAAAUGUGGUCCGGUAUCAAUAAUGUAACGAUGGCCUCACUGUCUCUACAACUUGCUCAGUGAAAUUGAAUUACGCGUGCAGAUGCGCGUUACCUCCAGUGGGACGGGAAGACCCUAUGCACUUCU
rnacentral:rRNA from 1 species